GGAGUCAUAGCUCAAUGGUAGAGCACCUGCCUAGCAAGUAGGAGGCGACUGGAAUGACUCCA
rnacentral:tRNA from 1 species